rnacentral:rRNA from 1 species
GAUGAACGCUGGCGGCGUGCCUAAUACAUGCAAGUCGAGCGAACAGAUAAGGAGCUUGCUCCUUUGACGUUAGCGGCGGACGGGUGAGUAACACGUGGGUAACCUACCUAUAAGACUGGGAUAACUUCGGGAAACCGGAGCUAAUACCGGAUAAUAUUUCGAGCCGCAUGGUUCGAUAGUGAAAGAUGGUUUUGCUAUCACUUAUAGAUGGACCCGCGCCGUAUUAGCUAGUUGGUAAGGUAACGGCUUACCAAGGCGACGAUACGUAGCCGACCUGAGAGGGUGAUCGGCCACACUGGAACUGAGACACGGUCCAGACUCCUACGGGAGGCAGCAGUAGGGAAUCUUCCGCAAUGGGCGAAAGCCUGACGGAGCAACGCCGCGUGAGUGAUGAAGGUCUUCGGAUCGUAAAACUCUGUUAUUAGGGAAGAACAUACGUGUAAGUAACUGUGCACGUCUUGACGGUACCUAAUCAGAAAGCCACGGCUAACUACGUG